rnacentral:tRNA from 1 species
GCCGAUAUAGCUCAGUUGGCAGAGCGGCGCAUUCGUAAUGCGUAGGUCGCAAGUUCGAAUCUUGCUAUCGGCACCA